rnacentral:rRNA from 1 species
AUUGAACGCUGGCGGCAGGCCUAACACAUGCAAGUCGAGCGGAUGACGGGAGCUUGCUCCUUGAUUCAGCGGCGGACAGGUGAGUAAUGCCUAGGAAUCUGCCUGGUAGUGGGGGACAACGUUUCGAAAGGAACGCUAAUACCGCAUGCGUCCUACGGGAGAAAGCAGGGGACCUUCGGGCCUUGCGCUAUCAGAUGAGCCUAGGUCGGAUUAGCUUGUUGGUGAGGUAAUGGCUCACCAAGGCGACGAUCCGUAACUGGUCUGAGAGGAUGAUCAGUCACACUGGAACUGAGACACGGUCCAGACUCCUACGGGAGGCAGCAGUGGGGAAUAUUGGACAAUGGGCGAAAGCCUGAUCCAGCCAUGCCGCGUGUGUGAAGAAGGUCUUCGGAUUGUAAAGCACUUUAAGUUGGGAGGAAGGGUUGUAGAUUAAUACUCUGCAAUUUUGACGUUACCGACAGAAUAAGCACCGGCUAACUCUGUGCCAGCCGCCGCCGUAAAAC